GUGGAUUAGAUACCCUGGUAGUCCACGCCCUAAACGAUGUCAACUGGUUGUUGGGGGAGUGAAAUCCCUUAGUAACGAAGCUAACGCGUGAAGUUGACCGCCUGGGGAGUACGGUCGCAAGAUUAAAACUCAAAGGAAUUGACGGGGACCCGCACAAGCGGUGGAUGAUGUGGAUUAAUUCGAUGCAACGCGAAAAACCUUACCUACCCUUGACAUGUCCGGAAUCCUGAAGAGAUUUGGGAGUGCUCGAAAGAGAACCGGAACACAGGUGCUGCACGGCCGUCGCCAGCU
rnacentral:rRNA from 1 species